AGAGUUUGAUCCUGGCUCAGAGCGAACGCUGGCGGCAGGCUUAACACAUGCAAGUCGAGCGGGCGUAGCAAUACGUCAGCGGCAGACGGGUGAGUAACGCGUGGGAACGUACCUUUUGGUUCGGAACAACACAGGGAAACUUGUGCUAAUACCGGAUAAGCCCAUACGGGGAAAGAUUUAUCGCCGAAAGAUCGGCCCGCGUCUGAUUAGCUAGUUGGUGAGGUAAUGGCUCACCAAGGCGACGAUCAGUAGCUGGUCUGAGAGGAUGAUCAGCCACAUUGGGACUGAGACACGGCCCAAACUCCUACGGGAGGCAGCAGUGGGGAAUAUUGGACAAUGGGCGCAAGCCUGAUCCAGCCAUGCCGCGUGAGUGAUGAAGGCCCUAGGGUUGUAAAGCUCUUUUGUGCGGGAAGAUAAUGACGGUACCGCAAGAAUAAGCCCCGGCUAACUUCGUGCCAGCAGCCGCGGUAAUACGAAGGGGGCUAGCGUUGCUCGGAAUCACUGGGCGUAAAGGGUGCGUAGGCGGGUCUUUAAGUCAGGGGUGAAAUCCUGGAGCUCAACUCCAGAACUGCCUUUGAUACUGAGGAUCUUGAGUUCGGGAGAGGUGAGUGGAACUGCGAGUGUAGAGGUGAAAUUCGUAGAUAUUCGCAAGAACACCAGUGGCGAAGGCGGCUCACUGGCCCGAUACUGACGCUGAGGCACGAAAGCGUGGGGAGCAAACAGGAUUAGAUACCCCAGUAGUCC
rnacentral:rRNA from 1 species